CGUUGACCUCGGAUCAGGUAGGAAUACCCGCUGAACUUAAGCAUAUCAAUAAGCGGAGGAAAAGAAACCAACAGGGAUUGCCUUAGUAACGGCGAGUGAAGCGGCAACAGCUCAAAUUUGAAAUCUGGCCCCAGGCCCGAGUUGUAAUUUGCAGAGGAUGCUUUUGGCGCGGUGCCUUCCGAGUUCCCUGGAACGGGACGCCAUAGAGGGUGAGAGCCCCGUCUGGUUGGAUACCAAGCCUUUGUAAAGCUCCUUCGACGAGUCGAGUAGUUUGGGAAUGCUGCUCUAAUGGGAGGUAUAUGUCUUCUAAAGCUAAAUACCGGCCAGAGACCGAUAGCGCACAAGUAGAGUGAUCGAAGAUGAAAAGCACUUUGGAAAGAGAGUUAAACAGCACGUGAAAUUGUUAAAAGGGAAGCGUUUAUGACCAGACUUGGGCCGGUUAAUCAUCCAGCGUUCUCGCUGGUGCACUUUGCCGGUCCAGGCCAGCAUCAGUUCGCUGCGGGGGAUAAAGGCGUCGGGAAUGUGGCUCCUCUGGAGUGUUAUAGCCCUUCGCGCAAUACCCUGCGGUGGACUGAGGUUCGCGCAUCUGCAAGGAUGCUGGCGUAAUGGUCAUCAACGACCCGUCUUGAAACACGGACCAAGGAGUCGUCUUCGUAUGCGAGUGUUCGGGUGUAAAACCCCUACGCGUAAUGAAAGUGAACGCAGGUGAGAGCUUCGGCGCAUCAUCGACCGAUCCUGAUGUUCUCGGAUGGAUUUGAGUAAGAGCAUACGGGGCCGGACCCGAAAGAAGGUGAACUAUGCCUGUAUAGGGUGAAGCCAGAGGAAACUCUGGUGGAGGCUCGCAGCGGUUCUGACGUGCAAAUCGAUC
rnacentral:rRNA from 1 species